rnacentral:misc_RNA from 1 species
UGAAAUGUGCCGGCGGGGAGCAAGCC